rnacentral:rRNA from 1 species
AUUGAACGCUAGCGGCAUGCCUUACACAUGCAAGUCGAACGAACUCUUCGGAGUUAGUGGCGGACGGGUGAGUAACACGUGGGAACGUGCCUUUAGGUUCGGAAUAACUCAGGGAAACUUGUGCUAAUACCGAAUGUGCCCUUCGGGGGAAAGAUUUAUCGCCUUUAGAGCGGCCCGCGUCUGAUUAGCUCGUUGGUGGGGUAAUGGCCCACCAAGGCGACGAUCAGUAGCUGGUCUGAGAGGAUGACCAGCCACAUUGGGACUGAGACACGGCCCAAACUCCUACGGGAGGCAGCAGUGGGGAAUCUUGCGAAAUGGGCGAAAGCCUGACGCAGCCAGGCCGCGUGGAUGAUGAAGGUCUUAGGAUUGUAAAAUCCUUUCACCGGUGAAGAUAAUGACUGUAGCCGGAGAAGAAGCCCCGGCUAACUUCGUGCCAGCCGCCGCCGUAACAC